AUAAUACUCCCUCCGUUCAGAAAUACUUGUCCUAAAAAUGCAUGUAUCUAGACAUAUUUUAGUUAUAGAUACAUUUAUUUUAUUCAUUUCUAGGACAAAUAUUUCCGGACGGAGGGAGUAGAAG
rnacentral:pre_miRNA from 1 species